rnacentral:rRNA from 1 species
AACGAACGCUGGCGGCAGGCCUAACACAUGCAAGUCGAGCGCACCUUCGGGUGAGCGGCGGACGGGUUAGUAACGCGUGGGAACGUACCCAGAUCUAAGGAAUAGCCACUGGAAACGGUGAGUAAUACCUUAUACGCCCUUCGGGGGAAAGAUUUAUCGGAUUUGGAUCGGCCCGCGUUAGAUUAGGUAGUUGGUGGGGUAAUGGCCUACCAAGCCUACGAUCUAUAGCUGGUUUUAGAGGAUGAUCAGCAACACUGGGACUGAGACACGGCCCAGACUCCUACGGGAGGCAGCAGUGGGGAAUCUUAGACAAUGGGGGAAACUCUGAUCUAGCCAUGCCGCGUGAGUGAUGAAGGUCUUAGGAUCGUAAAGCUCUUUCGCCAGGGAUGAUAAUGACAGUACCUGGUAAGGAAACCCCGGCUAACUCCGUGCCAGCAGCCGCGGUAAUACGGAGGGGGUUAGCGUUGUUCGGAAUUACUGGGCGUAAAGCGCGCGUAGGCGGAUCGGAAAGUUGGGGGUGAGAUCCCGGGGCUCAACCCCGGAACUGCCUCCAAAACUAUCGGUCUAGAGUUCGAGAGAGGUGAGUGGAACUCCGAGUGUAGAGGUGAAAUUCGUAGAUAUUCGGAAGAACACCAGUGGCGAAGGCGGCUCACUGGCUCGAUACUGACGCUGAGGUGCGAAAGUGUGGGGAGCAAACAGGAUUAGAUACCCUGGUAGUCCACACCGUAAACGAUGAAUGCCAGUCGUCGGGCAGUAUGCUGUUCGGUGACACACCUAACGGAUUAAGCAUUCCGCCUGGGGAGUACGGUCGCAAGAUUAAAACUCAAAGGAAUUGACGGGGGGCCCGCACAAGCGGUGGAGCAUGUGGUU